AGAGUUUGAUCCUGGCUCAGGAUUAACGCUGGCGGCGUGCCUAACACAUGCAAGUCGAACGAGGUAGCAAUACCUAGUGGCAGACGGGUGAGUAACGCGUGGUCAACCUACCUUGAGUGGGGGAUAACUAGCCGAAAGGUUAGCUAAUACCGCAUACGUGUCCGGGGGGCAUCCCCUGGUCAUAAAAGGAGCAAUCCGCU
rnacentral:rRNA from 1 species